ensembl:lncRNA
AAAACCUUUAUCUGCUAUCAUGGAAUUCACAGAGAUCAGAAAGUUUUCUUCAGAAUAAUACAAAUAAUUGGGGAGAAGAGAUGAAGAAUGAGAAACAGGCCUUUCUACACAGCAUCUGGGACAAUUUGGGCUAGGCCUUUACUUUCUCAUAUUCUCUGUGCUAUGAACACACACACACACGCACGCACGCACGCACGCACUGUAGACCAGUCAAUAUUCAUCUAGAGCCAAUAUAAUAAAUCCCUACUCUCAGGACAGGAUAUUGCCUUUACAGAUACAUUAGUUAGGAGAGGCUAGGUUUUACUAUGUAAGAAAUGACUCCAAAAUCUCAGUGGAUUUAAACCUUAUCACAAAGGUGUGCUUCUUGCUCACUCUCUAUAUCCAUAAUGUGUCAACUGCUUCCCUGUUCCACGCCAUCUUCACUUUAGGACUCAGGCUGACGGAGCACACUGCCUCUCCGUGUCUCUCCCUUUCUCUCUCUGGAACGUCGUCAGAUGCCACAGAAGAGGGAAAAGAGACCUGGAAUGACUUGCCGAGGUCCUUAGCCCAUAACCAAGCACUGUGUAAACCGCUUUACCUCAUUCAGUCUUCACAAUUACACCACAAGGUAAGUAAUGUUAUCAACUCCACUCACAGAUGUGGAAACAACCUGAGUGUCCAUUGAGGAAUGAAUGGAUAACAAAUGUGACGCAUGCCACAUUUGGGGAUAUUGUUGGUAAUAAUGGGAAGUUAUUCAGCCUGAAAAAGGAAGGAAAUGCUGACAUAUGCGACAAGGAUGAACCGUUAUGCUAAAUGAAUUUAGCCAGUCACAAAGAGACAAAUAGUAUAGGAUUCCCCACUUAUAUGAAGUACGUAGAAUAGUCAAAUACAGGGACACAGAAAAUUGGAAGGUGGUUCCCCUGGUGGGUAGUGGAAUGGGGAGGUAUUAUUUAAUGAGUACAGUUUCAGUUUGGGAUGAUGAAAAAAUUCUGAAGAUGGAUAGUGCUGGUGGUUACACAACAAUGUGAAUGUACUUAAUGCUAUUAAAUGGUACACUUAAAGGUGGCUAAACUGGCAAAUUUUAUAUUAUCUAUAUCUUACCACCAUAAAAAAGUAUACGGCAGCAAAAACAAAUAAACAAACAAAACUGAAAAAACCCACAAGUCUUAAAAUGCCUUGAAACUUUGAGCAAUUUGCCUCACACAACAGAUCCUUUAGCCACUAUGUGAGUAGGUGAUGGCAUUUUAGUAGCCUGAUAAUGCUAAUAAAUACUUCCAGGUAUAAAAGUUGCUCUUAAUAAUUAAUUGAGGAUCUGGCUGGGAUGGGGGUGAGGUAGAUAAAGCACUGAACUGGGAAUGAGAUCUUGAGGUUAGGACUUAGCUGAAACCAGCUGUGUGACCUUGGCUAGGUAGCUUCCCCUCUCUGGGCCUCAUUUUUUCCUAUCAGGAAUGUGGAGAGGUUAGUUGAUCUUUUCAGUUCAAUUUUUUUUUUUCAGACCAAAGGACCACAGUCUUGCAGGGCAGUUCAAGUAGAUGGGAGUCUAUCCCCUCUGCCGUUCUCUCCCAAUAACCACCUCCCCACCAAAAGAAAAAAAAAUAGCAAAAAAAAUUAUUUUUUGAAGGGCUUUAUGAAUUGGACUUCUGUUUAAGAACUUUAAAAACAGCUGGAUAGGGGAAUCUCUGAGGGCUCUGAUGUUCUGUAUUCACUUACUGGUGAAGCUGUGAGAUUAAGAAGAGGCCGCUGGGUUAACCAUGCAGUCAUUCAUCAAUGACUAACGACUGGACUCAAACCUGGGCUCCUGUCUCCUCCUGUCCACUGAAGCCCUUCAGUGACCAGCUUCCCAUUUUUCUGUAGAGGCCCUUAUAUUGGCAGACAGGGAAGAAAUUAUAGAUACCUUUUAACUGAGCCCUCAUAAUGCAGAUGUGAUACCCUACCUUGUUUUAACCUGAGUGACUCUCUCCUAGCAGAGACAGCUAGACAGACUCCAUUUUAGUUUCUUCAUUUGUAACCUCUUUUCCCCUCCCUCCAGGCAUAGCUAGUGUAAAACUGACUCAAAGCACAUCCAGGAAUGCACCUGUUGAUAAGAUAUUGAGGUGAGGUGCACCAGCAGCUCCUGGGGGUGCACACGGUGGAUGGCACCCAAAACCCCUGCAUCUAUCUUUUGUGAUAGUUUAAGCCCCUGCACCUGGAAGUGAUUUUUUGUAACUGCAUUUGUAACCAAUCAAUUUUUUAACUUUUUGCCAGUUCUGCUUCUGUAAAAAUUGCUUCAGCUAAAAUCCCCCCUCCCCUAUUUAGACUACGAUAUAAAAACAAACCUAGACCCUUCCUCGGGCCGAGAGAAUUUUGGGCUGAGCUGCCUCUCAGUCGCUGGAUAACAGAGGACUCUUUAAUUUGUCUCAAAGUGUGGCGUUUCUCUAUAACUUGCUUGGUUACAACACAGAUAAAAACAAAACAAAACAGAUAUCCCAACAGCUACACAAGCAAGCAUUUUCAGAACUGAGACUGGAAACCAGACUGUGGAAUCCUUAUCAGUUGUUUCUCCAAGGUUUAAAUUCCAACUCUGCAGUUUAUUAACUCUGAGACUUGGGCAAGCAUCUUAAUCUCUCUGGGCCUCAGUUUCCUCAUCUGUAAAAUAGGUAUGGUGGUCCCUAGUUUAUUGAAUUGUUGUGAAGGUUAUAAAUGUGUGUAAAAUGCCCCUCCACCAUAGCCCCCAAUCAUUUCCCACCCUCUUCUCUCCCUGCCAGGGAGUCAGUGCCCUCCUGGAGGAGGCUCACAAUAUAGCCUUCAUGGUUGACUCUGGGCAUUGCUUCAGUACAGACUAGAAGUUAUUUUAGAAGCCCCAGAGCAUGGUAUCUGCGACAAAUGAAGCUAGACAUAAUUUUAAAGCAUUUUUUAUGUUUAAAAGUCUUUUGGUCUCACUCCUUGGUCUUUUUUUUUUUUUUCUCCAAGAUGGAGCCUUGUUCUGUUGCCCAGGCUGGAGUGCAGUGGCGUGAUCUCUACUCACUGCAACCUCCUACUCCCUAAUUUAAGCAAUUCUCCUGCCUCAGACUCCCAAGUAGCUGGGACUACAGAUGCACACCACCAUGCCUGGUUAAUUUUUGUUUUUUUUUUUUUUUUUUUAGUAGAGUAGGGGUUUCGCCAUGUUGGCCAGGCUGGUCUCAAACUUCUGACCUCAAGUGAUCCAUCCGCCUCGGCCUCCCAAAGUGCUGGGAUCACAGGCAUGAGCCACCGCACCUGGCUCUUGCUCUUGACAAAGAUCUUUUUCCCGUCCAGAGAUUGGAGAGAAAGCUAAGGAGAAAAGGCAGCGUGAAGGAAGGAGAAUUUCUUCCUGCCCAUAUAUUUAUUUUGAAUUUUACAGCUUUAAAGUCUGCCCUCCCUCACCCUGAGCUGAGUUGGGAAAGGUACCAUUUCUGGUGGGUUCACUGCUUGAUACCUGGCCUAAGUAUCUAUAAGUUAUAAAAUCAGAAACAAAAUAUAAUUAGUUUCAUCAAUAAACGAACAAAGGGCAGUUGG